UGCCAGACUCCUACGGGAGGCAGCAGUGGGGGAUAUUGCACAAUGGGGGGAACCCUGAUGCAGCGACGCCGCGUGGGUGAAGGAGCGUUUCGGCGCGUAAAGCCCUAUCGGCAGGGAAGAAGGAGGACGGUACCUGACUAAGAAGCCCCGGCUAACUACGUGCCAGCAGCCGCGGUAAUACGUAGGGGGCAAGCGUUAUCCGGAUUUACUGGGUGUAAAGGGGGCGUAGACGGCAGCGCAAGCCAGGAGUGAAAGCCCGGGGCCCAACCCCGGGACUGCUCUUGGAACUGUGCGGCUAGAGUGCGGGAGGGGCAGGCGGAAUUCCUGGUGUAGCGGUGAAAUGCGUAGAUAUCAGGAGGAACACCGGCGGCGAAGGCGGCCUGCUGGACCGCGACUGACGUUGAGGCUCGAAAGCGCGGGGAGCGAACAGGAUUAGAUACCCGCGUACUG
rnacentral:rRNA from 1 species